AGCUUUGCGCAGUGGCAGUAUCGUAGCCAAUGAGGUUUAUCCAAGGUGCGAUUAUUGCUAAAAG
rnacentral:snRNA from 1 species